rfam:Ornithorhynchus anatinus chromosome 5, whole genome shotgun sequence.
CCCCUCUCAGGGUCACACCUGGAGAGUUUCCAGUUCUCUAUCAGUCUCCACUAUGGGAGGGAGAGUCAAGCAGAGGCCUACCCAUUCCAUUCCUAGCUUGGCCAGUGGUUAGCGAGUGGAAGGCCAUCUGCUACGAGU